rnacentral:lncRNA from 1 species
UAAUUACUUUUCUGAAUAACAUCGGCGAUUUCCGUAAAAAAUAUAUUUAUUUUUUACAUAUGGAGUUGGAGGAAAAGGAUGUCUUUUUGAAGUCGGCGUAAAAACGAAAGAGAUAGAGAGAGCGUGAUGUGAUCAGGAAAAAUCUUUUGAAGUUGGCAUCCAUCAAAUUGACGCCGUGGCCUCCCUAGUCUCCAGGCGAACAAAUGUUAAUAAGUAGGACUCACAGGGCAACACAGCUCUACGUCAGGCUGUGGAGAAGAACUUAUAAAGAUGUAGUCAAAGUCCUGUUAAAAAAGAAAGGAAAUAACAUUUUACAGGUUACUCAGCGACAUAUUAAUGGCGGUGGGACACCUCUACAUGUUGCCUCUCAGGAGGGACACACAGACAUUGUUAAACUACUACAACAUAAUUCUGCUGAUGUCAGUGUUGUGGCCGUCAAUGGUUGGACGCACAGACGUUAAACUUCUACAACAGAAUGACCUCUACGUCUGGCAGUUCAAAAGGAGGAAUUUAGAAAUCAAAAAUGUCCAACUGGAAAAUAUCAAGUGUGACAACACUUAAAACAUUUAAGAACAGAGCUUCCAGAUGCUGUACACAUGGUACACAAGUUCUGAUCAAGAGAGACAAACACUGAAAACACUCAGAGAAGCUCUUGAUCAAAUGCCUUCCAGCCAGGACCCUCCUGUCUUUAUGUAGGGAACCCAGAAUCACAUUGUCCAAUGUGUUCUUCUAUAAGGUGAUAAUUGAAUCAAAGAGGAUUUGGCUACUAAUUCUAGCAAAUCUAUCUACCACAUAAGAGAUUCCAUUCCUGAAUUGGUUCCUUCUUAGAAAUUAACUUUUGAAAUAAAGAUAAACUUUGAAAUGUU